GAUGAACGCUGGCGGCGUGCCUAAUACAUGCAAGUCGAGCGAACGGACGAGAAGCUUGCUUCUCUGAUGUUAGCGGCGGACGGGUGAGUAACACGUGGAUAACCUACCUAUAAGACUGGGAUAACUUCGGGAAACCGGAGCUAAUACCGGAUAAUAUUUUGAACCGCAUGGUUCAAAAGUGAAAGACGGUCUUGCUGUCACUUAUAGAUGGAUCCGCGCUGCAUUAGCUAGUUGGUAAGGUAACGGCUUACCAAGGCAACGAUGCAUAGCCGACCUGAGAGGGUGAUCGGCCACACUGGAACUGAGACACGGUCCAGACUCCUACGGGAGGCAGCAGUAGGGAAUCUUCCGCAAUGGGCGAAAGCCUGACGGAGCAACGCCGCGUGAGUGAUGAAGGUCUUCGGAUCGUAAAACUCUGUUAUUAGGGAAGAACAUAUGGUAAGUAACUGUGCACAUCUUGACGGUACCUAAUCAGAAAGCCACGGCUAACUACGUG
rnacentral:rRNA from 1 species